AGUGAACGCUGGCGGUAGGCCUAACACAUGCAAGUCGAACGGCAGCACAGUAAGAGCUUGCUCUUACGGGUGGCGAGUGGCGGACGGGUGAGGAAUACAUCGGAAUCUACUUUUUCGUGGGGGAUAAUGUAGGGAAACUUACGCUAAUACCGCAUACGACCUACGGGUGAAAGCAGGGGAUCUUCGGACCUUGCGCGAUUGAAUGAGCCGAUGUCGGAUUAGCUAGUUGGCGGGGUAAAGGCCCACCAAGGCGACGAUCCGUAGCUGGUCUGAGAGGAUGAUCAGCCACACUGGAACUGAGACACGGUCCAGACUCCUACGGGAGGCGGCAGUGGGGAAUAUUGGACAAUGGGCGCAAGCCUGAUCCAGCCAUACCGCGUGGGUGAAGAAGGCCUUCGGGUUGUAAAGCCCUUUUGUUGGGAAAGAAAAGCAGCAGGUUAAUACCCCGCUGUUCUGACGGUACCCAAAGAAUAAGCACCGGCUAACUUCGUA
rnacentral:rRNA from 1 species